GUAAUUGAUCAUUAUAGUAUAGCUUCUCUUUCUUCUCAGAUUACGUAUUCACUCCCGGCCCAAAGGCAACGUCCCGGGUAGCGGGUAGUUGUGUCCCGCGGCACCUGCCGGUAAUCGUCUCAAUCAGUGGGUCCCGAGUACCUGCAUGCUCGUUGUAGUCGUCUCAACGAUGACACCACAGCGCGCUGACGGGUAGCAGUUUAUGAUGGAUACUCAGGAUAUACCCGGGUAUCCCGUGUAGGGUGGGUCAGGUACCCCGUAUACUGUAUACUCACGAUUACCAGAAAUCCUGUAUUCUGUCCGUCUCUAGUGUGUGUGUGUGUGUGUGUGUGUGUGUUGCCUUGUUGGCAGGGCUGUGUACAUGAUGAUACUCACUCCAUGACGUGUAUUUCCGCCAAUAAUCAACAUUGAGUUUGUGGCCAAUCACAGGUCAAGACAGUAGCACGUCACCUGUGGUUAGGCGGGAGCCUCGCUUUCUUUUAGAUAGAACCUGAGGGCUGUUGGCUGAGGAGUGAGAAGCUCAGUGUGUGUGUAGCAGUGACUGUGAGCGUUUAAUUAUUAGUGUUGAUACUAUCACUGUACUGUUACUGCGAGACGAUGCAUAACGAAGGACAAUCACUUUGUGUUUGCACAUACGGCUCCCCGCAGUCUGCAGAGUGUGACAGGCCUGGAAUAUCUGUUACGUAUAUACGACGUCAUCCCGGGACCGACGCCAGCCAGGUCUGGGCGAACCGAGGUGGCUUGAGACAUGGCGGCUUUGGAAUGGCGGGAGGUUAGGUUUGAGAAAUAUUGCGGCGGGAACAUGGGCCACCUUUUCGCGGAGGUGCUGGUGACACUGGCCAGGCCGGGGCUCAGAGUUAUAUCUCUAAGCCUUUGGCCAGGCAGGGGCGGCACAGGCAUCCUGGCGACCUGCACCACCGCCACCAUGCCCAGAGUUAGCAACACUAGGAAGACACAGCGGGAUCAGCGGCAGUGCAUGGAGCAAAGUCGUUGUGUUUAGAAGUGUGUGUGAAACAAGUCGGUGAUUACUGGCCCCGGGCUCUGUUUGUUGUGUUUCCGGACGCAGCGUGAUCUCGUGCUGGCUCGUGGAGGACUCACUGAACAGAUAUUAACGUUGUGCUUGCGAGGAACAUUACCACGAGGAUAUUUAUUGUUGUGGUGGAGCUGCGGACAAACAAGCCAGGUAGGGGCCGAGUGAGAUGGAAGGGGAAGGCGGAUGAAGUACCAACUUUAGAGAAAACGAAAGGAUGGCGGUGGAGAGGGCGAGUCUGGCUUGAGGAGAUAAUGUUACUCUCAUCACCACUGCCACUAGCGCCACCACUACCAUCUCCGCCAUCCGCCGCCGUCACAUUUUCCUCCGCCAUCAUCUCGCAUGAAGGAAAUAAGAAAUAAGGUGUGGUUGCCUUCUCUGCUUACGUGUAUCGUCUGAGGUGUCUGUACGCAGGUCUUAUACAUCCACCUCCUCUUCCAGCAUAACUUUGUACCGCCUUUGCUUGUAAGAGGACCAGAACAAGGGUGUGAAGGCGACCAAAAUUUAUGUUUAACUUCAAAAUAUUAAUAGGUUAGAAUGUUACUCGCCAGCACAAAAUCUCAGACUUUUUAACCCCUUCUGAACUAGGACACAUUUUUACCUUUAGAUUUGUGUACAAUUAGACCAUUUUAUUGACAUUAGCAAGGGUCUAUGGAGGUCACAAAAAAUUAAUGGCCGGAGUCUUCAGUAUUUUAAUCCCCCAAAAACUUUAUGGAGCUGUAAAAAAUCACCAAAUAGUAACCAGAAUGAAUAUGGAAACAUGUAAUGGUACUGAAGGGGUUAAAAUCUUGUCACAGCAUUGGUCAGUAUUCAAAAACGUUGUUUCCUCUAACCAAUACUAUUCGUAAAGGCUACAGGGAUGAUUAGCUGGCUGUAAUUAAGAGUGUAAGAAUUUUUCCUGUUGUUAAAAAUGUAGAAAUAUUUUUAAUCCUUUAGUAGAUCCGUAAAAAACUCCAGCCUGUGUACUCCUUCGAUCGCCUUUUUAAGUGUUUCAAAAUAUUGUUUAUCAUCUUAACAUUUCCUAGGGACGUGAAAUACAGAGAUAACUGUUUAAGGUCCACCAGUCUCAUGCCGGCCACGUGGGAAAGGCAGGACGACGCGGCUAGUGGUGACGUAAGGCAGCGGAAGGCAGCGGUUAGAGUUGAGAAAGUGCGUCUCGGUUAAACGUUAAGAUAAAUGCAGUCGGUGAAAGAAUGAAUGAAUCACGAAAAUUAGAGGUUGAUGAGCGUCUUGAGUCCGACUGGCUGUGUCCUUCCUCCCUUCCUUCUUUCCUUCCUUCCAGGCACCACAAUUCAAGGAUCUUCAUUGCUACAGGAUACUUCGUUCGUGUAAAUUAGAAAAAAGUCCGGAAAUUAUUGAAAGUGAGCAUAAAUAUUUUCUCCUCGGUGUAUUAUCGUUUGUUAGGAAAUGGAGUCGUCGCUUGGACACCUCGCAGGCCACAGGCACCACCUGCUCUGGGCGCAGCUGUGAGGAAUGUAAGUCCUUUGAAAUUCCCUUACCUAAUUAAUGUCUCUUUUAGAGGAAGGGAAAGUUUAGGUAGUUAUUGCACUGAGGCAACACCAGCAGAAAGCAAGAAAAAGCUAAGCCUGAGGUGUGUUCCGACAAGGCCCUGAACAUGAGGAGUUGUAGAGAGCUUGAGCAAGAGGCCCUCCAAAUGGCGGCUAUAAAACACCUGGGCCUCGCGUGUAGUCACUGUGGGCCUCGGGGUACAGAGCCAUGGGUGAGGAGGUGCAGCCGCUAUGAUAAGGGAGGCGGCCGCUGCAGCUUUCGUAUCGUGUCUAUGCAGAUAUUCUCACAUUGAACGUAUCGAUGUGUAUCUUCGUCACCCGGUAUCUUAUAAGUAGACAUUUACAAAUACUGGUGUGAAGUAAAGUGACAAGUUUUUUUCUGAUUGGUUAUGUUAAAACACUGUGCUUCCCACGUCGCAUGGUGAACAUUUGCUGCCUUCAUGUUCGUUGACUUAUAGGGUAUAAGAAUAGAGACUUGAAAAUUGGAAAAUUUCAUUCCAAUGAAAUGCCAAACAGAGGAGGUAUUAUUUCAGUAUUAUACUAUAAUUCUUGUGUACGCAACAUUCCAGACGACGGGCAAGACAGGUUGUGUCAGAAAAAAAAGUUGCUUGUUUUAUUUAAGCAAGGAUCAUCGCUGACAGAGAAACAAUUGGUGCAGUCAUGUAUUUGUGAACAUUUGGGCUUCCUUACCAACACCUCGCCUUGAAAAAUUACAGUCCAAUGAAUGCUUGGGACCAAAGGGCGGAGGUAUGUGCAGGACCAGAGGGCGGCGUUUCUCAUACGCAAAGUAAGUCUCCAUUUACCAGUCUGACUUGACCAAGAUAUGCGCCAUGAUGAAGGCAUUAUCAUCCUGACUUGCAAUGAAGACGUCAAAGAAAAAGAAAAAAAAAAAUGUAGAAAAAAACUCGCUUUCAUGUGUUGAGAACAAAGCAUAAAGUGAACACUACAAACGGCAACUUCAGAAGUUGGGGGAAUGCCUUUGCAUGCUGUACACUGCUUGGAGGCAACGCCCUCAGUAACACCGCCACCCAAUUGACUUCAUAGCGUGUUUCAUGGCGCCACUAAUAAAUAUUCAAAUAA
rnacentral:lncRNA from 1 species